GACGAACGCUGGCGGCGUGCUUAACACAUGCAAGUCGAACGGUAAGGCCCUUCGGGGUACACGAGUGGCGAACGGGUGAGUAACACGUGGGUGAUCUGCCCUGCACUUCGGGAUAAGCCUGGGAAACUGGGUCUAAUACCGGAUAGGACCACUGCCUACAUGGGUGGUGGUGGAAAGCUUUUGCGGUGUGGGAUGGGCCCGCGGCCUAUCAGCUGGUUGGUGGGGUGAUGGCCUACCAAGGCGACGACGGGUAGCCGGCCUGAGAGGGUGACCGGCCACACUGGGACUGAGAUACGGCCCAGACUCCUACGGGAGGCAGCAGUGGGGAAUAUUGCACAAUGGGCGCAAGCCUGAUGCAGCGACGCCGCGUGAGGGAUGACGGCCUUCGGGUUGUAAACCUCUUUCAGCACCGACGAAGCGCAAGUGACGGUAGGUGCAGAAGAAGGACCGGCCAACUACGUGCCAGCCGCGCCGUAA
rnacentral:rRNA from 1 species